GGCUCAGCCCGCUGUUGCCGGCGCGCGGCGGGGGCUCCGUGGGCAGCGACGUGGGCCAGAGCCUUUGAGAGCCUGCGGGACCCCCACUCCCCCCACUUA
rnacentral:sRNA from 1 species